AGGGAUUCCCCAAGGCAUCUUGGGGCUGUCAAACGCGGGGAUCGCAAGACCUGCGGCAAAGGGAUGGGCUCGCGUGCCAUCAGCUUGUUGGAGAGGUAACGGCUCCCCAAGGCAUACGGCUAGCUGGUCUGAGAGGACGACCAGCCGCACUGGGACUGAGACACUGCCCAGACUCCUACGGGAGGCUGCAGUCGAGGAUCAUUCGCAAUGGGGGCAACCCUGACGAUGCGACGCUGCGUGGAGGAUGAAGGCCCUCGGGUCGUAAACUCCUGUCAUGGGGGACUAGCGCCGGGCGGCGAACACCCGCUCCGGCUUGACGGUACCUCAAGAGGAAGCCACGGCUAACUCUGUGCCAGCAGCCGCGGUAAUACAGAGGUGGCGAGCGUUGUUCGGAUUUACUGGGCGUAAAGGGCGCGUAGGCGGUAGCGUGUGCCGGGUGUGAAAUCCGUGGGCCCAACCCACGAAGUGCACCCGUAACUGCGUUACUCGAGUGCGGGAGGGGGGAUCGGAAUGCAGGGUGUAGCGGUGAAAUGCGUUGAUAUCCUGCAGAACACCGGUGGCGAAGGCGGAUCCCUGGAACGUGACUGACGCUGAGGCGCGAAAGCAGGGGGAGCAAACAGGAUUAGAUACCCUGGUAGUCCCUGCCCUAAACGGUGCACACUUGGCGCGGCGGGAAUUCACCCCCGCCGUGCCGUAGCGAACGCGUUAAGUGUGCCGCCUGGGGAGUACGGCCGCAAGGCUAAAACUCAAAGAAAUUGACGGGGGCCCGCACAAGCGGAGGAGCAUGUGGCUUAAUUCGAUGCAGCGCGAAGAACCUUACCCGGGUUUGACAUGUGACUGCACGUCCUAUGAAAGUAGGACUCCUUCGAGGGUGUCACACAGGUGCUGCAUGGCUGUCGUCAGUUCGUGCCGUGAGGUGUUUGGUUAAGUCCAGCAACGAACGCAACCCCUAUGUCCUGUUGCCAGCGGGUAAUGCCGGGAACUCAGGAGAGACUGCCUGUUUACACAGGAGGAAGGUGGGGACGACGUCAAGUCAGUAUGGCCCUUACGCCCGGGGCUGCACACGUGCUACAAUGGCCGGUACAGAGGGCAGCUACAUAGCGAUAUGAUGCUAAUCUCAAAAGCCGGUCUCAGUUCGGAUCGGAGUCUGCAACCCGACUCCGUGAAGUUGGAUUCGCUAGUAAUCGCAGAUCAGCCAUGCUGCGGUGAAUACGUUCCCGGGCC
rnacentral:rRNA from 1 species